UUCUACUAUUAAUAUGUCUUCUAUAUACUGAUAUGCACUACAGAAAUUAAAUAAUAUAUGUUUUAUUGUUUCUUGUGUAUUCCAAUAAACCUGGCGCUUGGAGAGUUUUAUCAUAAUUAGAGAAUAUUUGCAGGUGAACAUGACAAGUUUUCAGUUAUCUUUAUCACCAUGAAAAAAUAAAUAGAGUAAUUAAGAAAUAAUAGCACGUUUAAAAAUAUUUAACAACAAAUACCCUUGUCGUCCGACUCGAGCCAGGUGCAACAAUGUAAAACAUGACAUUUAUAACAAUGUUUCAGACAACAAUAAUACCAUACUUGGAAUUCACAUAAACAUGAAACUUAAAAAAAAAAGAUUACAAUUGCAUUUUUAAAACGUGAGAACGUUAAAUAACAAUAAUAUGUAGGCAAAAAUAUGUAUAUCUUUCUACACUGUUUACGUCACACACUUCGUAGCAUAUUCAUGUUCACAUAAAUAAGAAAUAUGAGCUCGUACAUAAAUUACACAAGUUUAAAGAAUACAUGAUACAGAAUUCCUGCCCAGAAAUAGGAUUGUAUUUCCCAUCAAAUAGUUGUUUUACUUGAAGCUAAAUUAGGAUUCUCGUAGAGGCUUAAAGUUUCUCUAUCAACCAAAUAUUCAUUGAAACCCCAUUAGUGAUUAAUAGUUUUUAAAUACAAGCUUAAAUUGAAAGUAUCCAAUUUUGCGGAAACUGUUGAUAUAAUAAUAAUGGUUAUCUUGUUAUCUUUUUGUAAACAUGAAACACACUUAUUUCUCAGCAUAACGUUUUUCAACAAUUUAUGAUUUCAUCCACAUUAAUUCAACACGGCUGUUUUGAACUGCGAGAAAAUAUGGCUUUAUCCUCAAUUUUUUAAAAUAUUUAUUGAAUUUGUGUCGUUUUCAAUAUAUAUUGAUAUUUUAUAUGCAGAAACUUAUAAUCCACGUUACUUAAUUUAAAAUAUAAAAAGUAAACAAUUGACUUAAAGUGAAAAAAUACCAAAAUUGGUUAAAAUUGAGAAAUUAAUAAGACCAUCGGAAAACCAAACGAACCUAUUCACGAGCCAUACUUAUGACGCGGUCAAAUACCAAGAGAGUAAUCACUACUAUAGUAUACAGCAUUUAAGAGGUACAGCUAGACUGUAGAAUUGUUUUUAAACAAGAAGCCGAUAUGUUGAAAAGUAUUUUUGCUUUUACAAGAUUUGAUUGUUUAUAAUGUUAAUUUUUUUUAUCUAUAUAAAUAUAAUUUUUCAGUGAUUUGUUUUGUUGGCUUGCAUGGUUUGGAUUUAGGGUUAACCUAAAUCUCUAAAGUUGGCCUAACCUCGAGCGAUAUUAUUGAGAUUAUGACUGAAAGUACUGAACUGAUUAAACAGUGUUUCCCCACCUUGUAAAAAAAAAA